GGCGAUGUAGCUUAGUGGCAAAGUACCUGCCUGGCAUCUGCAGGAUGCUGGGUUUGAUCCCCAGCACCA
rnacentral:tRNA from 1 species